CUCUGUAUCUGUCCAUGUCCUGCAGAUUUGUCUCUCUGUAUGUGUCUAUGUCCUGCAGGUGUGUCUCUCCGUAUCUGUCUAUGUCCUGCAGGUUUGUCUCUCUGUAUCCGUCUUUGUCUCUCUGUAUCUGUCCAUGUCCUGCAGGUUUGUCUCUCUGUAUCUGUCUAUGUCCUGCAGGUGUGUCUCUCCGUAUCUGUCUAUGUCCUGCAGUUUUGUCUCUCUGUAUCUGUCUUUGUCUCUCUGUAUCUGUCCAUGUCCUGCAGGUUUGUCUCUCUGUAUCUGUCUAUGUCCUGCAGGUGUGUCUCUCCGUAUCUGUCUAUGUCCUGCAGGUUUGUCUCUCUGUAUCUGUCUUUGUCUCUCUGUAUCUGUCCAUGUCCUGCAGGUUUGUCUCUCUGUAUCUGUCUAUGUCCUGCAGGUUUGUCUCUCUGUAUCUGUCUAUGUCCUGCAGCUGUGUCUCUCCUUAUCUGUCUGUCUCCCGGUGUCGGUCUCACCAUCUCCUGCAGGUCUCACUGGACUGGACAGCCUGGAGCUGAAUCCCAGUGAGCAGCCGCUGUCUGGACUGGGUUUGUCCUGAUGUUUGUCUGCAGCAGUAGGACACGCCUCCUUCACCUGGAACUCACUGACAGGAAGGGGCAGCGUUUAGAGGGGCGGCGUUCCAACAUCCUACAAGCAGAAUUUAUUCACCUGGGACAAACUACUUCCUAAAAUGGGACAUUGAACUCUGACCCUGUUUAUCAUAUUCAAUUAAUUGUCCUUAAAUCCUUUUGUAAGGAGACGGUGUAAAUAUAAACGACCUGAUGACCUGCUUGUGUUUCAAUCUCUUCUCUCCUCUUUUUCUGCUUCUGUCUCUGCUGCCAAAAGCUCUUUCUACCGAUCCAGAAUCCAAUCUUCAUUUUCUAACCCAAAAAAACUAUUUUCGAUAUUCUCCAACCUCCUCCAACCCCCUAGUCCUCCUCCCCCCUUCUUCUGGGUGACUGUCACUACUUUACCAAGAAAAUAGCUGACAUACGCUCCUCUUUCUCAAACCCACCUCCUAUUUCUUGCUUCCCACUGGCUUCACCUCUAUCGCCCUCACUUUCCUCUUUCACCCCCCUGUCUCCUAACCAAGUUCUUACCCUAGUAACCUCUGACCCUCCGACCACCUGCCCUCUUGACCCCAUUCCAUCACAUCUUCAACGGACGCACCUAUCGGGUAACCUGGAGAGGAUCUGUGUUGAACCUUGUCCUCUUACUACUGGAGUUCCUCAGGGUUCCGUCCUGGGUCCCCUCCUCUUCUCUCUCUACACCAACUCUCUCAUUCGCUCACUUGGCUUCUCCUACCACAGCGAUGCUGAUGACACCCAACUAAUUCUCUCCUUCCCUCACUCGGAUCUCUGCCUGUCUGACUGACAUCUCUCAGUGGAUCCGCCCACCAUCUGAAAAUCAACCCCGACAAGAUGGAACUACUUCUCUUUCCAGGAAAAGAUUCUCCUUCACAGGACCUGACUGUUAACUUUGGCGACUCCGUGUUAACGUCCACUUUGACUGCAGGAACCUCGGCGUGACGUCGACAGCCGACUCUCCCUGACUCCAACAUCACUGACAACACCCUGUAGAUACUCGCUCUACAACAUGAGGAGAACACGUCCUCUUCUCACUCAGAAGGUACUGAUUCAGGCUCUUGUCGUCUCCCUCCUGGACCACUGUAACUCUCUCCUGCAGGUCUCCUGCUACCUCCAUUCCACCUCUGCAGCUCAUCCAGAAUGCAGCAGCUCCACUGGUCUUUAACCUUCCUAAGUUC
ensembl:lncRNA